GACGAACGCUGGCGGCGUGCUUAACACAUGCAAGUCGAACGGAAAGGCCCUGCUUUUGUGGGGUGCUCGAGUGGCGAACGGGUGAGUAACACGUGAGUAACCUGCCCUUGACUUUGGGAUAACUUCAGGAAACUGGGGCUAAUACCGGAUAGGAGCUCCUGCUGCAUGGUGGGGGUUGGAAAGUUUCGGCGGUUGGGGAUGGACUCGCGGCUUAUCAGCUUGUUGGUGGGGUAGUGGCUUACCAAGGCUUUGACGGGUAGCCGGCCUGAGAGGGUGACCGGCCACAUUGGGACUGCGAUACGGCCCAGACUCCUACGGGGGGCAGCAGUGGGGAAUAUUGCCCAAUGGGCGGAAGCCUGAUGCAGCAACGCCGCGUGCGGGAUGACGGCCUUCGGGUUGUAAACCGCUUUCGCCUGUGACGAAGCGUGAGUGACGGUAAUGGGUAAAGAAGCACCGGCUAACUACGUG
rnacentral:rRNA from 1 species